rnacentral:rRNA from 1 species
GAUGAACGCUAGCGGUAGGCUUAACACAUGCAAGUCGAGGGACCGGCGCACGGGUGCGUAACGCGUAUGCAAGUUGCCUCACAGAGGGGGAUAACCCGUCGAAAGACGGACUAAUACCGCGUACGGUGAGAUAGGCAUGCGUACCAUUAGCUGGUUGGUGAGGUAACGGCUCACCAAGGCAACGAUGGGGAGGGGAAAGGAUAGGGUUCCCCCCCACACUGGUACUGCGACACGGACCAGUCUCCUACGGGACGCUGCAGUGAGGAAGAUUGGUCAAUGGGCGAGAGCCUGACCCCGCCAAGUCGCGUGAAGGAUGCUUGUCUAUGGAUUGUAAACUUCUUUUGUAGGGGAAUAUGUACCCUACGAAUAAGCAUCGGCUAACUCCGUGCCAGCAGCCGCGGUAAUUC